rnacentral:tRNA from 1 species
GCUGGGGAUAUAGCUCAGUUGGUUGAGUGUUUGCCUUACAUACACAAGGCCCUGGGUUCAAUCCCCAGCACCACAGUA